GCCGGGUAGUUGUGGCUGCUGGGAAUUGUUGAUGCCAGUGGUACGUCCUAGUUUUCCUUCUCUAUGGUGAUGUCUAGGUAAGACUUAGGGAUUUGGGGCAGCAGCUCAUAGAUUGGAGUUAGAUUUUAGAACUAGAGAUGGAUUCCUGAAACACUUUGCAAAUUCGUUGGUGAGCCCAGUGCUUAUACUUAUUUGGUUUUGCUUCCAGGUCAGACCUCCUCUAUGUUAGUUCCUUUGCUUAGCCAAAUAAGUUAUGGAAGAUAGCCCAUCCAUGAUGUUGUGAGAUGUGAACUGCCUUCUAGCAGAAAAACGAGAGUGUUGGGCAUCUUUGACUGUAAACUGAAUCUGGUUCACUUAAAACCGCACUGACAAAUCUGGACAGCCAGCUUCUAGGUGGAAAUCGAGUUAGUUAUGCUCACAAUUUCGAGUAGGCCUCUACAUAUGAGUUGUAAAGCAUGUUCCAAGGUUUCCGUGGAGUACUUACUUGCUUCAUUUGGAUGUACGGUUUGAGAGCAGUCGUCUAUUUGGUUACUGUCCAGAAACACAGUUUCAUGGGUACAAUAUUUUCAUAUGGAAGAUUAGGCCCUGUUGGAGGUGGACUUAAAAUAAAGUUACAACAUGAAAUUUGUAGAGAAUAUUCUGCAGAUUCUUAAACAUAUAUUAUUUGUUAGAUUCCGUGUUAUACACUAAAUCCUAUGAAAUUAUUAAAAUGAUUGUACCAUGUCGGACAAAAUUUUAUGUUUGGACUUGGGUGAAUGUAAAUAGACUUAUACUCUCAGAUUUUAUCGUCGUUGAUGAUGUGAGGAGUUAUAAUGUGAUAAAGUAUAUAUGAUCUGGGGUCUUGUGUGUAGGAGCGAUGCAAAAUUAUAUAUGCUUAUGUAAUCAGACCAUGCUUUACUGUGGCUGUGAUAUAUGCUUCAUGACAAGUGGGGGUACUUCGGAUUCGGAACUGUUUGCCUCACAAUUUGUGCCCCGCGGUUGAGGCAAGUUCAUGAUGGGAUAAUGACUUGCAUAAUCCCUACACUCUAUUUUAUUUAUGAUAUUUGUCCAUGUUAAUGAUGUUUAUUGUGAUGGAGGUGACGAUGACAAAGACAUGUUGAUUCAAGUACUUUGCUUGCAUUUGCAUAUUUGCAUUCAUGAUGAUAGAGAAAGAAAGAGUACCCUACCUUGGGUAGGCACAUUGAGACCUCCAUUGUUGGGUUGUGUCCUACUUUGGAGGAAACCUCCACGCGCUGGAGUGAGUGGAAGUCGACGGGCGUCCACUCAAGCAAUACCGGUAUACGCAAUGAAAUGAGAUGAGCAUGUAGGCAUGUAGGACACCAAUACAUGCGUUCAGUGUUGUUGAGUGUAUGGUGUUAACAUAGAUUUAGUUCUUUCUUAUGAGUAUUGUUUAUUAUUCCUUUAUGAACCUGUUGAGUCCUUGUACUCACCCUUGUUGCUUACAUGUUUUUAGGUAAACCAUGAAGACACCAUACAUGAGAGUCGUGGGGUAGCAGUAUCACCAUCUUCACUACACGAAUAUCUCAUAUGUUAACUUCUAGCACCGUGCUUUGAGACCUUGUAUGGCUUAUACCUUACUUCACAUGGUGGAUUGUCUUGGAAUUCUAGAUUUACACUUUCGCUCUGUAUGGCUUAACUAAUUUCCACUAAGACUUACAUGAUCGCCUAGAGUUUCAAAGUGGCACCUGGUUAAUGUUGGUAUUGUAGCUUUGCGCUUUAUGCUUGUGUUUGGUUCCUUUUCAUACAUAAUCAUAUGAUCUAUGUGUCAUGGAUGUCCUUAGAUACACAGAAAGCUUUGUCGAAAUUUCCUUUUAGGGCAUGUUUCCUAUCCAAGGUCUUAUGUGGUAAUAUUCCAAGCGCCUUGUCAGCUUGGGGUGUUACAGUUGGUAUCAGAGCAGGCUUUAGGUCCUAGUGUAUCUAUAUAGGAUAAUUGCAUAACUUAGUUAUGAAUUUAGGAUUGAUUAAAAAAUUUACUAUAGGAUGAACAACAUUAGAACUGACACACUGGUGCACAAUAGGAUGGAUUGGGCCAUGCAUUGCAUUAUGCUUAAGUUAAUGUUUUUCUUUAAUUUUGGGAUACUUAUGUCGGCAUAUGAUCAUGACUUUUGCGUUGAUGAUUGACUAUGCUACUUAUAGCUAUGUGCUAUCUCUUGAGCUUGGGUUGGUUUUUCCCUUGAAGACGAAAGGGCGAGGCAGCAAAGUAGUGUAAGUAUUUCCCUUAGUUUUGAGAACUAAGGUAUCAAUCCAGUAGAAGACAACGCGACAAGCCACCAAAUACCAGCACAAACAAACACCAACUUGCAACCAACACGACAAAGGGGUUUUCAAUCCCUUCACGGUUAUUCGCAAAGUGAGAUCUGAUAGAGAUGGAUAAACGGUAAAGUAAUAUUUUUGGUAUUUUUAGUUUGUGGAACGGAAAGUAAAGAUUGCAAAAGAAAGUAAAUAGGAAACUAGAAUUGUAGAUUGGAAACUUAUAUGAUGGAAAAUAGACCCGGGGGCCAUAGGUUUCACUAGAGGCUUCUCUCAAGAAAGGAAUUAUUACGGCCGGUGAACAAAUUACAGCCGAGCAGUUGAUAGAAAAGCGCAAAGUUCUGACGAUAUCUAAGGCAAUGAUGAUGAAUAUAGGCAUCACGUCCGUGUCAAGUAGACCGAAACGAUUCUGCAUCUACUACUAUUACUCCACACAUCGACCGACUCCUGCCUGCAUCUAGAGUAUUAAGUUCAUAAGAAUAGAGUAACGCAUUAAGUAAGAUGACAUGAUGUAGCGGGAUUAACUCAAGCAAUAUGAUGAAAAUACCAUCUUGUUAUCCUCAAUGACAACAAUACUAUACGUGCCUUGCUACCCCUACUGUCACUACGAAAGGACACCGCAAGAUUGAACCCAAAGCUAAGCACUUCUCCCAUCGCAAGGAAAACCAAUCUAGUUGGCCAAACCAAAUCGAUAGUUCGAAGAGACUUUCAAAGAUAUCAAAUCAUGCAUAAAAGAUUUCAGAGGACAUUCAAAUAAUAUUCAAAGAUAAGCUGAUCAUAAAUUCAGAAUUCAUCGGAUCACGGCAAACACGCCGCAAAAGACUAUUACAUAGAAUAGAUCUCCAAGAAUAUUGAGGAGAACAUGGUAUUGAGAAUCAAAGAGAGAGAAAAAGCCAUCUAGCUACUAGCUAUGGACCCGUAGGUCUAUGGUAAACUACUCAUGCUUCAUCGGAGAGGUAAUGGUGUUGAUGUAGAAGCCCUCCGUGACCAAAUCCCCUUCUGGCAGGAUGGGGGAAAAGGCCCCAAAAUUGGAUCUCACGGGUACAGAAGGUCGCGGCAAUGGAAAAAUGGUUUUGUGGCUCUCCUGGAAGUUUUCAGGGUAUAAGAGUAUACAUAGGAGGAAGAUCUAGGUCAGAAGGCCACCGAGGGACCCACAAGGUUGGGGUGCGCGCCCCAACCCCUAGGUGCGCGCUCCACCCUUGUGGCCGCCUCGUGGCUCUUCCGACUUGCACUCAAAGUCUCUUGGGUGUCUUCUGGUCCAAGAAAGAUCAUUGCGAAGCUUUUAUUCCGUUUGGACUCCGUCUAGUAUUCCUUUUACGCGAAACUCUAAAAUAAGGAAAAAACAGAAACUGGCACUAGCAAUGGCCUCUAGGUUAAUAGGUUAGUCCCAAAAAUCAUAUAAAAUAGCAUGUUAAUGCAUAUAAAACAUCCAAAACAGAUAAUAUAAUAGCACGGAACAAUCAAAAAUUAUAGAUACGUUGGAGAUGUAUCCAGCAUCCCCAAGCUUAAUUCCCGCUCGUCCUCGAGUAGGUAAAUGAUAAAAACACAUUUUUUGAUGUGGAAUGCUACCUAACAUAUUUAUCGAUGUAAUUCUAUUUAUUGUGGCAUGAAUGUUCAGAUCUGUAAGAUUCAAAACAAAAGUUUAAUAUUGACAAAAAAAUAAUACUUCAAGCAUACUAACAAAUAAUUAUGUCUUCUCGAAAUAACAUGGCCAAAGAAAGCUUAUCCCUACAAAAUCAUUGAUGACCCACAAGUAUAGGGGAUCUAUCGUAAUCCUUUCGAUAAGUAAGAGUGUCGAACCCAACGAGGAGCAGAAGGACAUGAUAAGUGGUUUCCAGCAAGGUAUUCUCUGCAAGUACUGAAAUAAGUGGUAACAAAUAGUUUUGUGAUAGGAUAAUUUGUAACGAGCAACAAGUAACAAAAGUAAAUAAAGUGCAGCAAGGUGGCCCAAUCCUUUUGUAGCAAAGGACAAGCCUAGACAAACUCUAAUAUGAUGUAAAGCGCUCCCGAGGACACAUGGGAAUAUCGUCAAGCUAGUUUUCAUCACGCUCAUAUGAUUCGCGUCCGGUACUUUGAUAAUUUGGUAUGUGGGUGGACCGGUGCUUGGGUGCUGCCCUUACUUGGAAAAACAUACCACUUAUGAUUAACCUCUAUUGCAAGCAUCCGCAAAUACAACAAAAGUAUUAAGGUAAACCCGCCUUCUGUGCUAGAGAUAAGCCAAACCUAUGUGCUAAUGCUUCCGCUGUUAGGACAUCAGCGCAACAAUCAAUCUUCCAAUUUCCACCUACAAUAAAGUUUCCUUUGUCAUCCCUGAGGACAGCCCCCGCUGUGCCCUUUAGUAGAUCGUGAUUGAAGGCAGCAUCCACAUUCAAUUUAACGACGCCCCUAGGAGGUCAACUCCACCCUCCAAUCUUCCUAUUAGCAUUAGGGGAAUGGGCAUUUACAAAAUUUGUCGUCAUAGCACGAAUUCCCAUCGAGGUUCGACAUACCUCUUGAGACUUUCCCCCGUGAACCAGUUUACGUCUAUUCCACCAUAAAUACCACGCGGUUACAGCAAUCAGCUCUCGUGCGUUCCGUGAAUCCGACAAAGAAAACUCUUGUUGUGGUAUGAGGAAUAAUGAUUCAAGGACUGCCUCCCCUGCAUGAUCAACCGCACAAGCUUUUUUAACCGCUCCAUACAUCCCCAAAUUUUCCCACACUUCUUUUGCCUUCUGACACAGGAACAACACAUGCUUUGUAUCCUCUAGCCCAUUUCAACAUGAUGGGCAAUUGGGCAAAAAAUUUAUGUGUCUAUUGGCUAGGGUAAUAUGACACGGUAGUGUCCCAUGCAAUGUGUGCCAGAUAAAAAAAUCAGCUUCGCCGGACAAGCUAAUUUCCAAAUCUUGCCCCAAAUAGGAUUGACCCUACUUCUACCCAUUCCAUUUGUGUAUUCUAGUUUCUUUCCAUGUUGUUUAUUCCACUCCUCCAGAUAAGCAGAUAGUAUAGUGAACAAACCGUUUUUAGUAUAGCUCCAAGCAAUGAAGUCCUGCAUAUUAUUCAUAGGGAGAGGGAUCGCCAGGACUCUUCAAGCAUCAAUUGGCCAUAGUGUUUGUCUCACCAAAUCUUCAUCCCAACCAUUUGUGGUUGGGUCAAUAAGAUUAGACACUUUCGUCAGAAAUAUCCCUCGUCUAGGAGUAAUAAUUCUCCUAUUCGCACAAUUUGGGAUCCAAGCGUCUGUCCAAAUAUUAAUUUUUUUCUUGGUUCCAACUCUCUAUAUAUAACCAUUUCUGAGAGAGUCAACUCCCGCCGUAAUACUUUUCCAAGUAAAGGAGGAACCCUUUUUAAAUUUUGCGCUCAUCAGAUCACCCUCUGGGUAAUACUUGGCUCUUAGGAUUGUGGCACAUAACGAAUCAGGAUUAUGUAGGAGACGCCACACUUGUUUAGCUAACAAUGCGAGAUUAAAGCAGUGUAUAUCACGAAAUCCCAUCCCUCCUUGAUCUUUGGGAACACAUAUCUUCCACCAUGCCAUCCAAUGCAUCCUUUUAUGGUUGUCGUCGUCGCCCCACCAAAAUUGCGACAUCACGUCAAUGAUUUCUUUACAAUUUUUUCAGGAAUUUUAAAGACGGGCAUGGCAUAAGUUGGGAUAGCUUGAACAACAGAUUUUAGCAAAAUUUCCUUUCCACCGCAGACAACAGUUUUUCUUUCCAUCCACUAAUCUUCAUAAUAAUUUGGUCAAUCAGGAACUGAAAGCAAUCACUUUUGUCCAUCCCCACAUGGGCUGGUAGACCCAAAUAUUUGUCAUUGAGUGCCUCAGUCAUAAUAUUCAGAGUAGUACAAAUUUGCACCUUUUCUUCCACUUUUGUUUUGGGGCUGAAAAAUAUGCUAGACUUUUCAACACUCACCAUUUGACCCUAGGCGACACAAUAAGAUGCAGAACUUCUCUCAAAGCCUUCGCAUUUGUAUCAUUAGCUUGCAUGAGGAUCAAUGAAUCAUCCGCAAAGAGUAAGUUGGAAAUAAAAGGGGCAUCUCUGCUAACUUUUAUGCCGAAAAUACUAGUUGUUUCUUCUGUGUUUGCUAAAAGAGCAGUGAGGCCCUCUGUGCACAACAAAAACAAAUAGGGAGAGAGUGGAUCCCCUUGCCUUAGUCCUCUAGUAGGUUUGAAACUAUCAGUAUCAUCGGCAUUAAACCGUACUCUAUAUUCCACUGAGGAUACACACUGCAUGAUUAAGUUCACCCAAUUCUCUUUAAAACCCAAUUUCAAUAGAACUCCUCUUAAAAAUUAAAAAAAAGACCAUUUCACUCGGUCAUAAGCUUUAUGCAUGUCUAGUUUAAUGGCACACAACCCUUCUUUACCUGCCCUUUUCAUUCUUAUUUUAUGAAAACGCUCAUAUGCUAGUAAAAUAUUAUCUAUGAUCAAUCUCCCAGGAACAAAAGCACUUUGAGUUGGGCUGAUAAUAUCUGAAAGAAUUACCUUUAAUCGUGCAGCAAUCAUUUUUGAAAUAACCUUAUACACCACAUUGCACAAACUGAUUAGUCUAAAUUGAAUAAUCUUUUCUGGAGAAUUAACCUUUGGGAUCAUGACAAUUGUAGUGUAAUUCCAUCCUGCCGGUAUAGAACAUGUAUUCAACGCCUUGAGGACUUCUUCUGUCAGAUAUUCUCCCAACAUCUGCGCAAAAAAAGAUCUUCUCCCAACAUAGACCAAAAUCUCUUAUAAAAGAUAGCAUGCAGACCAUCCGGACCCGGUGCUUUUAAAUCACCAAUAUCAAAUAAGGCCUUCCGAACUUCCUCCGCUGUGUAUGGAGCCGUAAGACCAGUAUUCAUUUCAUUCGUGACUUUCCUUUCUACAAGAGAUAGAACCUCCGGGUUUGGGUGAGAGACUUCUGACAUAAAUAGAUUUGAAAAAUACCCUCUAAUGCAAUCCUUCAUCUCCGACUCUUCCACCCACGCCCCAUUAUCUCCAAGCAAUAUUUUUAUCUGAUUUCUUUUCUUUCUGGAUGUUGCCGCAUUGUGGAAAAAAGAGCUGUUCCGGUCCCCGUGUAAUAGACAAUUUGCACGACCACGCUGAAUCCAGUAAAUCAGCUCUUGUUCCAACAAAUUUUCAAUAAGAAAAAUAAUCUCCUUUUGUCGUGCUUGGGAAUCCACAUUCAUAGGUCCCCUACGUAGCUUUUUCAAUUCUAUUUUAAGUUUACCUAUUCUCUUUUUCGGUCCGUUCAGAGUCUCGUGAUCCCAAUUCUGCAAAUCUGCAUGUACCACUCAUGUACGAUCAGCGAGCGUAGGCCCAAUGCCCAUUUUCUUUGCCUUUUCCCAUGUUGUACGCACAAUCUCAACGGGUGUCUCCUCUCUAAGCCAUCUAGCUUCAAAUUGUUUCACUCGUCCCCUUGGAGGUUUAGAAAUAUUGGCGUCAAAGUAUUCAGCAUCCAAGAUGAUGGGACGAUGAUCGGAAUGAACAUGUUCCUCAUUUAUAACCGCAGCUCGGGGGAAUACAUUCGCCCAUUCCACAUUGCAAACCGCCAUGUCAAGUCUCUCUCUAGUGUCGCCUGUCCUCCAAGUGAAAGGAUCACUAAUACAUCCCAUAUCGUCGAGGCCGCACUCUCCUAAACAAUUACGGAAAUAUCUCAUCAUUGCAUUCGGUUUCGCAUUGCCACCUUCUUUUUCCGACGAGAGUAAAAUUUCAUUAAAAUCUCCUAAAACCACCCACGGGUGCUUGCCCUUACUAUGUAGGUUUCAGAGCUUAUCCCAGGAUAAACUACGCUCACUCCAAACCGGAUGACCAUAAAAGCCCGUGAACCACCAAUGCACGGAAUCAUCAUUUAGAAAAAAGAAUAUCAAUAAAAUUAGGCGACUCAUAGUUCGAAACCACUUUAUUCAUCUUAUGAUAGAACAAAACUAGGCCACGGGCCCGACCAUCACUCCCCACUACAAUAAUUGAAUCAAAAGAUAAAGAAUGACAUAGCUCAUCGGCUUUACAUUUAUUGAAGUGCGACUUAGAGAGAAAAAUCAAAUCCGCCAUGAUACUCCCUGAUACGUCUCCAACGUAUCUAUAAUUUUUUAUUGUUCCAUGCUAUUAUAUUAUCAACCUUGGAUGUUUCAUAUGCAUUUAUAUGCUAUUUUAUCUGAUUUUUUGGGACUAACCUAUUAAGCUAGAGCGAGUGCCAGUUUCUAUUUUUUCCUUGUUUUUGAGUAUCACAGAAAAGGAAAACCAAACGGAGUCCAAUUGACCUGAAACUUCACAGAACUUAUUUUUGGACCAGAAGAAGGCCAUGGAGUAAAAGAGUUGGGCCAGAAGAGUUUCGGGCUGCCCACGAGGGUGGGGGCGCGCCCACCCCCUGGGCGUGCCUCCCUACCUCGUGGAUAGCCCGAAGACCCCCCCUGACUUGUUCUUCACGCAAAACCUCUUAUAUGUACUAAAACCUCCAGAACAUAACCUAGAUCGGGAGUUCCGCCGCCAGAAGCCUCCGUAGCCACCGAAAACCAAUCUAGACCCGUUUCGGCAUCCUGCCGGAGGGGGGAAUCCCUCUCCAGUGGCCAUCUUAAUCAUCCCGGCACUCUCCAUGACGAGGAGGGAGUAGUUCACCCUGGGGGCUGAGGGUAUGUACCAGUAGCUAUGUGUUUGAUCCCUCUCUCUCAUGUUCUUGAUUCGGAACAAUCUUGUUGUAUCGCGAGAUUUUCUAUUAUAGUUGGAUCUUAUGAUGUUUCUCCCCCUCUACUCUCUUGUGAUAAAUUGAGUUUUCCCUUUGAAGUUAUCUUAUCGAAUUGAGUCUUGAAGGAUUUGAGAACACUUGAUGUAUGUCUUGCAUGUGCUUCUCUGUGGUGACAAUGGGAUAUCACGUGAUUCACUUGAUGUAUGUUUUGGUGAUCAACUUGCGAGUUCCAUGACCUCGUGAACUUAUGCAUAGGGGUUGGCACACAUUUUCGUCUUGACUCUCUGGUAGAAAAUUUAGGGCACUCUUUGAAGUUCUUUGUGUUGGUUGAAUAGAUGAAUCUGAGAUUGUGUGAUGGAUAUCGUAUAAUCAUAUCCAUGGAUACUUGAGGUGACAUUGUAGUAUCUAGGUGACAUUAGGGUUUUGGUUGAUUUGUGUCUUAAGGUGUUAUUCUAAUACGAACUCUAGGAUAGAUUGAAUGGAAAGAAUAGCUUCGUGUUAUUUUACUACGGACUCUUGAAUAGAUUGAUCAGAAAGAAUAACUUUGAGGUGGUUUCAUACCCUACAAUAAUCUCUUCGUUUGUUCUCUGCUAUUAGUGACUUUGGAGUGACUCUUUGUUGCAUGUUGAGGGAUACUUAUAUGAUCCAACUAUGUUAUUAUUGUUGAGAUAACUUGCACUAGUGAAAGUAUGAACCCUAGGCCUUGUUUCAACGCAUUGCAAUACCGUUUUCGCUCACUUUUAUCAUUAGUUACCUUGUUGUUUUUAUAUUUUCAGAUUACAAAAACCUAUAUCUACCAUCCAUAUUGCACUUGUUGUUGGAAAUAUGCCCUAGAGGCAAUAAUAAAAUGGUUAUUAUUGUAUUUCCUUGUUCAUGAUAAUUGUCUAUUGUUCAUGCUAUAAUUGUAUUAACCGGAAACAGUAAUACAUGUGUGAAUACAUAGACCACAACAUGUCCCUAGUAAGCCUCUAGUUGACUAGCUCGUUGAUCAAUAGAUGGUCAUGGUUUCCUGACCAUGGACAUUGGAUGUCAUGUAUAACGAGAUCACAUCAUUAGGAUAAUGAUGUGAUGGACAAGACCCAAUCCUAAGCCUAGCACAAGAUCGUAUAGUUCGUCUGCUAAAGCUUUUCUAAUGUCAAGUAUCAUUUCCUUAGACCAUGAUAUUGUGCAACUCCCGGAUACCGUAGGAAUGCUUUGGGUGUACCAAACGCCACAAUGUAACCAGGUGGCUAUAAAGGUGCACUACGGGUAUCUCCGAAAGUGUUAGUUGGGUUGGCACAAAUCGAGACUGGGAUUUGUCACUCCGCGUAAAAGGAGAGGUAUCUUUGGGCCCACUAGGUAGGACAUCAUCAUAAUGUGCACAAUGUGACCAAGGAGUUGAUCAUGGGAUGAUGUGUUACGGAACGAGUAAAGAGACUUGCCGGUAACGAGAUUGAACAAGGUAUCGGGAUACCGACGAUCGAAUCUUGGGCAAGUACUAUACCGGUAGACAAAGGGAAUUGUAUACGGGAUUGACUGAAUCCUUGACAUCAUGGUUCAUCCGAUGAGAUCAUCGUGGAACAUGUGGGAGCCAACAUGGGUAUCCAGAUCCCGCUGUUGGUUAUUGACCAGAGAGAUGUCUCGGUCAUGUCUGCAUUAUUCCCGAGCCCGUAGGGUCUACACACUUAAGGUUCGAUGACUCUAGGGUUAUAGGGAAAGUAUGUACGCGGUUACUGAAUGUUGUUUGGAGUCCCGGAUGAUAUCCCGGACGUCACGAGGAGUUCCAGAAUGGUCCGGAGGUGAAGAUUGAUAUAUUGGACGAAGGGUUUUGGAGUCCGGAAGUGUUCCGGAGGUACCGGGUGAUGACCAGCAUGACCGAAAGGUGUUUCGGGAGCCCCGACAAGUGUUGGGGGGCUUCAUGGGCCAAGGCAAGGGGGCAAACCAGCCCACUAAGGGGCUGUGCGCCCCCCUCACCUAUUCCCACGUGACCAGGGGGUUUGGGGCGCCCCAUCUAGGGUUCCCACCUCCUGGCUUGGGGGCCAAGUCACCGAAGGGGGAGAUCCCAUCUGCCCUGGCCGCCGCCCCCCCUCCCUAGGGGAAACCCUAGGGCACCUCCCCUUGCCCUUGCCCCUAUAUAUAGUGGAGGUUUUGGGGCUGCAUAACACACUAGUCUCUCUCUCCCAAGGCGCAACCCUACCUCUCUCCCUCCUCGUCUCUCGUAGUGCUUGGCGAAGCCCUGCUGGAGUACCGCGCUCCUCCACCACCACCACGUCAUCGUGAUGUUGCUGAACGGAGUCUUCCCCAACCUCUCCCUCUCUCCUUGCUGGAUCAAGGCAUGGGAGACGUCACCGGGCUGCACGUGUGUUGAACACGGAGGCGCCGUUGUUCGGCGCUUAGUUCGGAAUAGACCGCGAUAUGAAUCGCUACGAGUACGACUACCUCAUCCGUGUUCUAGUAAUGCUUCCGCUUAGAGAUCUACAAGGGUAUGUAGAUGCACUCCCCUUCCCCUCGUUGCUAGAUUACUCCAUAGAUUGAUCUUGGCGAUGCGUAGAAAAUUUUAAAUUUCUGCUACGACCCCCAACAUGUAUGACUUAUUUUAUUUGUAGAGUUGUGUUGUGAUAUCUUCCCGCGAGUCCCUGAUCUCGAUCGUACACGUUUGCGUGUAUGAUUAGUGUACGAUUGAAUCAGGGGCGUCACAAGUUGGUAUUAGAGCCGACUGCCUGUAGGAAUCCCCCUUCCACACUCCUUGGCCGAAGUCGAGUCUAGACAUUGCAAAACUUUUACUAACAUGGCAGUGUGUCUUAUGGGCUCAUGUCACCAUUGGGUGUUAUUAGGAUCUUUUACUCCUCGAUCUUUACUCCGGGAUUCUGAUCUCUCUUCUAUUCGGGUUAAAAGAUUUUGCUAACUCUAACUCUAUGUUCUUGUAAAUACUUUCUCUCGGAGAACCCCUCACUCCAGAUGGUCGCCUGUUGCACCAGAAGAUUCCGAAGAUACUCUUUGAUGUUAUCCUGAGAACUUGUGCUCAUUGCAUUUGCAAUUCCCUUCCACCGUCAAUCCCUAUAGAUAACUACAUGCCCUUGCCAUUCUUACAUUAGUCCCUAGUUGCUCUUGUUAUUACAAGAUACCCCGAGAUGCUCAUUGUUGUUCCGAGAAUCCUUGUGCCUACUGCCUUGCAGUUUCUUGUCACCUGAAUACUCCUACAAAUUAAUCCUCACACACACACCAAGGAUUUGUUUCUCCUUAGUUCAUGUGUUUCACCAAAGUCUUCGAAAUACUAUUUGAUCUUUUGAAAAUCCUCAACAGCCUAUUGGUCUUGAAAUUCUUGCUUGCUUGCAUUCUGGUUAAUCCAUAAGUAUAGUAAUCUUAUUGGCAUCCUUUGUCACUAUCAUUUUUGAGUCCAUUCAUUCAAUACGUUGCGAAUGCUCACAAUCAUCAGUCGAAUCCUAGGAUUAUCCUUCCGGCUAAGAUGUCAUUUGGGUAUGAGCUGGUUCAUGACCAAUCAAUGCCUUGAUCGGUUGUGCUUCCAAGUCUAUUGAACUUAUUCAUUUUCGAUCACGAAUUAUUUGCUUAUAAUCCCUUGAUUUGGAAAUCAUAAAUUUCGUUGCUUGUAGCUUUGAAUUAGUCAGUUGUUUCUAUAAUCAUAUCUCUAUGCAUUCUUCUUCCUUUGGUUGAGUACCGAUGCUCACCUCAGAUCCCUUGAGGACCAUCAGAUCCUUUGUUGGAUUUUCUCCAACAGUGUCCUUCAUAUUCCAUAACGUUGCGAGUCUUUCCGCGGAUAUAUGAUGCCUUUGGUAAAUUGUAUCCUCUGCUUCUCAACCAUGCUUUGCUUUCGAGCUGGUGGUAUUUACUAUUGAAGCUUGUGGUAUAUGUUUCCACGACACCCUGACGGGUAGAACCUAUGCUUUCCUUAAUAUGUGUGAAAUCAAAAGUUUUCACGAGUCAUACUCUUCUGGUAUUUUGCUAGAUGAAAUUUCAACACUACAACUUAUUCGAAAGUGAGAGGUGAAUGGAAGGUUAUACAUUGAAGAAGUGGUAGUCGACCUAUCAUUAAAGCUUCUCUUAAAUUAAUUAUUCCCUUGGUAUAAGUUCAUCUUAUAUUUAGGAUCCGACCUUUUGCAAUCGUGGUUUCGACCAUGUUCUCCUUUAAAUACCAUUUUUUGUGCAAGUUUAAGCACUUGUCUUUUGCAGAGCAAUACCCUAGUCGAACCUCUACUUUGAUCUAUCGUCGAGUAUUACCCCCUGGUAUCUCAAGAUUGUCAUGGAACCGCAUACCUUCUUAUGAGCUCUUCAUUAAGUACUACAUUCUGACAGUUUCCAAUUUUUCACGGGCUCUGAGUUAUUAAACUCUCAAAGACACUGAUAACUAUACCGAGUCCGCACUAUGGUUCAACAACUCUUAGUAAUCUUCUUUAUGCAUGAGUGUGUACUCGAUCACACUGUUCCUAGUCUGUUUGGCUAUAUCAUUGUCUUGAUGAUUUUAACCAUGCUACUUGGUCCUUAUUCCAGGGGCACCACUUUCGACGACGAGCUAAGCUUACGGUUUGGAGUCAAAGGAAAGUUAGUGCCACGAUUUGUGGGUCCAUACAGAGUCUUGGAACGUAUGGGUGAAGUUGUUUACAACUUGGAUUUACCUGAAGGUUUGUCAGGAGUUCAUGAUGUGUUUCACGUUUUUGCAAUUGAAGAAGUGACAUGCAGAGAUAGCUGAUAUUCCUCUGAGAGAUACGGUGCCCCUGGAAGCAAUUCAGUUGGAGAGUAACCUAAUUUAUGAGGAGAAACCCGUCAGGAUUCUAGAUUUCACCAACUGAGUCACUUGCAGUAAGGUCAUCAAGUUUUGCAAAGUUUAGUGGAGUCACCAUACCGAGGAGGAAGCCACUUGGGAACAAGAAGAAGACCUCCGAAAGGACCACCCACACCUUUUUGCUAGCCAACCCGACUCUCGACGGCGCUAUUCAUCUUAAGGGGGGUAGGUUUGUAACAUCCCAAAUUUCCAUUUGGAUGUUAUUUAGAUCAAUCAUAUGCACUCAUCAUUUGUGCAUAUUGGAAUUUGCUUUAUUUGAAAUUUUGAUCCAAGGGGUCUUAAACGACUCGAGGACAAAUAGAGAGAGUUGGAGGUUUCCCAAAACUCAUUUCUUUUUGAAUUUUUAAAACUUGGAAAUUUGGAUCAAAUUGAUUUACUCAAAAUUCUUUUCUAAUUAUUUGAAAUAAAUAAAAUAAAGAGAGAAGAUAAAAGGACUUCUUCAAAAACAACAAAGAAAUAUUGGAAAAUUAAAUUUUGAAUAAAAAUAUAUUUUAUUUGAUUUUAUUUGCAAGUUUAUUUAUUUUUAUUAGUACUAAAAAUAUUAUUUUUAUUUUAGGCAUCUAGGUCCAGACAAAUCUUCACCUAAGCCUAUUUAAUUAGGAGGGACUAUGUGAACUUUUCUGCAAUUUUUAAAAAUAUGUUUAUUAUGCUUUUUGUAUUUUUCGUAUCUCUGGAAAAAGGUUUUAAAAAAACUUUUGGACAGAACUGGGCAGAAGCCCAGCCAGCCCAGACGCCGCACCGCCUUCCUCCCGUGCGUGGCCUGGACUCGCCGGAGUCCGCCGGGCCAACGGCGCCGGCCGCCACUUCUCCAAGUCGGAGCACCCGCCACCUAUUUAAUGCAUCGUCCCCGGCCCUCGCUUUCCUCCUCCUCAGCCCGUAGCCGCCCCGCCUCCCAUCGCAGCGCCGAGCCAUCGCCAUCGCCGCACCGAGCCGCGCCACCACUACCGCGCACCGCAGCCGCUCCACCCGCCGCCCGAUCCGCCGCUGGAUCCCCGAGCCGCCGCCGGACUCACCGUCGCCCGAGCCCAGAUCCGCUCGACCCGACCCACCGGUUUUCUCGGUCAGGGAAUAAACCGACCCGGUCCGAUCCGGUUUUUUAGUUUUCGGUUUUUCUUUUAAGACCCGGUUUAUUAUUUUUAGUUUAGUUAUUUAGCAAAUGUUUGUUCGUUAAUGUUCUAUACUUUAAAGAUUCAUCAGAUUAGUGUUCGUAGCGGACGUUCGUCUGAUAGAUUUUUCUUUUUCUGUUUUAUUUUUCGGCCAGGGACCCAUCCAUGAAUAUUUUCUUCAUAGAUUAGCCCCUAAUCUUUAAAUCAUCACAACUUUUUACUCGUUUGUCCAAAUUCAACGAAACCAAUGCCAAAUUCUUCGUUAUGAUUCUAUCUAGAUAACCAACUUAACAAUAUUUUUGGAAGUUCAAAAUAUUAUUUCAAACAGAUUUGAGUUUGAACUUCUUCUGAUCAUAACUUGAGUUUCGUAAUUCUGAUUUGGUUGAUUCUUUUUGCAAAUCGAAGCUCUUGACCUAAACUUUCUGUUAAGAUCUAAUACACAUAACUUAAGUACUGUUAGAAAUUGUUUUCUAUUUGAAAGAGUUAUUUUCUUAUUCUUUUGACCUUUCUGAAUCCUUUUCUUUGGUUUUCUUUGCAUCUUCAUGCUUGAGUGCUUAUGUAUGCUAUUGUUUUUCUAUGAUAGAAAUUGUUAUCUAUUCGCUAGAUGGAUUCUUCUCUCUCUUUGAUCUUCAAUACAAUGUUCUCCUCCAUUUCUUGGAGUUCUAUUCGAUGUAAUCUUCUUUUGCGGUGCGUUUUGUUGAUAUUCGAUGAAUUUUGGAUUUUUAUCAGAUUAUCUAUGAUUAUUAUUUGAGUCUUCUCUCAACUCUUUUAUGCAUGAUUAAAAUAGCUUUGUAUUUCUCUCCAAUCUAUUGAUUUGGUUUGGCCAACUAUAUUGAUCUAUCUUGCAAUGGGAGAGGUGCUUUGUGAUGGGUUCAAUCUUGCAGUGUCCUCACUAGUGGCAGCAGGGGUAGCAAGACACGUAUUUGUAUUGUUGCCAUUAAGGAUGAAAAUAUGGGGGUUUUACCAUAUUUAUUGGAUCUAUCCCUCUACAUCAUGUCAUCUUGGUUAAGGCGUUACUCCAUACUUGUUAACUUAAUAGACUAGAUGCAUGCUGGAUAGCAGUUGAUGUGUGGAGUAGUAGUGGUAGAUGUAGGCAGGAGUCGGUCCACUUGUCACGGACAUGAUGCCUAUAUUCAUGAUCAUUGCCUUAGAUACCAUCAUAACUUUGCGCUUUUCUAUCAAUUACUCAACAGUAAUUUGUUUACCCACCAUAUGCUUUCUUCAAGAGAGAAGCCUCUAGUGAAAAAUAUGGCCCACAGGUGUAAUGCCCCGUUUUCAUUUGCUAUGCAUUUGUUCCUGAAGAAUGUUUAAAUAAAAGAAUAAGACAGAGUUAGUAAUUAUUAAAGUGAUGUAAGAAUAGGAAAAGGAAAAAAGAGACACACACACACGAAGAGAGAGAAAGAGAGAGUGCAUGUGAAAUAAAAUCAGCGUGGCAAAAAGAAAAUAAAAGAGAGGGUGUGUAUGCUAGUGUUUGAACCAUGGUCCUCUAGAUAUAUGAAGAAUUUAGAAACCAAUUUCUCUAGGUGCUACUUCUGGUACUAUACCAGGAAACAUAUUAGUUAGCUCCUCUAAAACAAGAGGAAAGAAAUUCUACAUGGGUCCAAGGCCCGGUCGAGCUCGGCCUGAUGGUCAGUCCCACACUGCGCCGCUAUAACCUGCGCCCAAAUCGCCUUUCUCUUCUUUUCCCCUCACCAAAAUAUUCCUCUCGUCUUAUCCAGUUAAGGCCGCAGCCUUCAGGUCGCUACCACUGCUGUGGGUUGCCAUCCCCAUGAGGUUGCUGUUGUUCCGACGCCUCUACUCGUCGAGGCCGUUGCCGGGCAGUUGUGGCUGCUAGGAAUUGUUGAUGCCAGUGGUACGUCCUAGUUUUCCUUCUCUAUGGUGAUGGCUAGGUAAGACUUAGGGAUUUGGGGCAGCAUCUCAUAGAUUGGAAUUAGAUAUGAGAACUGGAGAUGGAUUCCUGAAACACUUUGCAAAUUCGUUGGUGAGCCCAGUGCUUAUAAUUAUUUGGUUUUGCUUCCAGGUCAGACCUCCUCUAUGUUAGUUCCUUUGCUUAGCCAAAUAAGUUAGGGAAGAUAGCCCAUCCAUGAUGUUGUGAGAUGUGGACUGCCUUCUAGCAGAAAAACUAGAGUGUUGGGCAUCUCUGACUGUAAACUGAAUCUGGUUCAGUUAAAACCGCACUGACAAAUCUAGAUAGCCAGUUUCUAGGUGGAAAUUGAGUUAGUUAUGCUCACAAUUUCGAGUUGGCCUCUACAUAUCAGUUGCAAAGCAUGUUCCAAGGUUUCCGUGGAGUACUUACUUGCUUCAUUUGGAUGUACGGUUUGAGAGCAAUCGUCUAUUUGGUUACUGUCCAGAAACACAGUUUCGUGGGUACAGUAUUUUCAUAUGGAAGAUUAGGCCCUGUUGGAGGUGGAAUUAAAAUAAAGUUACAACAUAAAAUUUGUAGAGGAUAUUCUGCAGAUUCUUAAACAUAUAUUAUUUGUUAGAUUCCGUGUUAUACACUAAAUCCUAUGAAAUUAUUAAAAUGACUGUACUAUGACAGACAAAAUUUUAUGUUUGGACUUGGGUGAAUGUAAAUAGACUUAUACUCUCACAUUUUGUCGCCGUUGAUGAUGUGAGGAGUUAUAAUGUGAUAAAGUAUAUAUGAUCUAGGGUCUUGUGUGUAGGAGCGAUGCAAAAUUAUAUAUGCUUAUGUAAUCAGACCAUGCUUUAUUGUGACUGUGAUAUAUGCUUCAUGAUAGGUGGGGGUAUUUUGGAUUCGAACUGGUUGCCUCACAAUUUGUGCCCCGCGGUUGAGGCAAGUUCAUGAUGGGAUAACGACUUGCAUAAUCCCUACACUCUAUUUUAUUUAUGAUAUUUGUCCAUGUGAAUGAUGUUUAUUGUGAUGGAGGUGACGAUGACAAAGACAUGUUGAUUCAAGUACUUUGCUUGCAUUUGCAUAUUUGCAUUCAUGAUGAUAGAGAAAGAAAGAGUACCCUACCUUGGGUAGGCACAUUGAGCAUCCAUUGUUGGGUUGUGACCAGCUUUGGAGGCAACCUCCACGCGCUGGAGUGAGCGGAUGUCGAUGGGCGUCCACUCAAGCAAUACCGGUAUACGCAAUGAAAUGAGAUGAGCAUGUAGGCAUGUAGGACACCAAUACAUGUGUUCAGUGUUGUUGAGUGUAUGUUGUUAACAUAGAUUUAGUGCUUUCUUAUGAGUAUUGUUUAGUAUUCCUUUAUGAACUUGUUGAGUCCUUGUACUCACCCUUGUUGCUUACAUGUUUUUAGGUAAACCAUGAAGAAAACAUGCAUGAGAGUCGUGGGGUAGCAGUAUCACCAUCUUCACUACAGGAAUAUCUCAUAUGUUAACUUCUGGCACCGUGUUUUGAGAGCUUGUAUGGCUUAUACCUUACUUCACAUGGUGGAUUGUCUUGGAAUUCGAGAUUUACGCUUUCGUUCUGUAUGGCUUAACUAAUUUCCACUAAGACGUACAUGAUCGCCUAGAGUUUUGAAGUGGCACUUGGUUAAUGUUGGUAUUGUAGCUUUGCGCUUUAUGCUUGUGUUUGGUUCCUUUUCAUACAUAAUCAUAUGAUUUGUGUGUCAUGGAUGUCCUUAGAUACAGAGAAAGC
rnacentral:lncRNA from 1 species